GUUGUAUGGUUAAGUGACUAAGCGUACACGGUGGAUGCCUUGGCAGUCAGAGGCGAUGAAAGACGUAGUAACUUGCGAUAAGCCCAGAUUAGGUAGUAACAACCAUUUGAGUCUGGGAUUUCUGAAUGGGGAAACCCACUUACAUAAGUAAGUAUCAUUAACUGAAUACAUAGGUUAAUGAGGCGAACCGGGGGAACUGAAACAUCUAAGUACCCCGAGGAAAAGAAAUCAACCGAGAUUCCGAAAGUAGCGGCGAGCGAAAUUGGACUAGCCCUUAAGCUUUACACGCGUUAGACGAACGGUCUGGAAAGUCCGACGAUACAGGGUGAUAGUCCCGUAGUUGACGACGUGUGUUCAGUGAAAUCGAGUAGGGCGGGACACGUGAUAUCCUGUCUGAAUAUGGGGGGACCAUCCUCCAAGGCUAAAUACUACUGACUGACCGAUAGUGAACCAGUACCGUGAGGGAAAGGCGAAAAGAACCCCUGUGAGGGGAGUGAAAUAGAACCUGAAACCGUGUACGUACAAGCAGUAGGAGCAGGCUUUGUCCUGUGACUGCGUACCUUUUGUAUAAUGGGUCAGCGACUUAUAUUCAGUGGCAAGGUUAACCAUCUAGGGGAGCCGUAGGGAAACCGAGUCUUAACUGGGCGUUCAGUCUCUGGAUAUAGACCCGAAACCAGGUGAUCUAGCCAUGGGCAGGUUGAAGGUUGAGUAACAUCAACUGGAGGACCGAACCGACUAAUGUUGAAAAAUUAGCGGAUGACUUGUGGCUAGGGGUGAAAGGCCAAUCAAACCUGGAGAUAGCUGGUUCUCCCCGAAAGCUAUUUAGGUAGCGCCUCGGACGAAUACUACUGGGGGUAGAGCACUGUUAAGGCUAGGGGGUCAUCCCGACUUACCAACCCUUUGCAAACUCCGAAUACCAGUAAGUACUAUCCGGGAGACACACGGCGGGUGCUAACGUCCGUCGUGGAGAGGGAAACAACCCAGACCGCCAGCUAAGGUCCCAAAUUACUACUAAGUGGGAAACGAUGUGGGAAGGCUCAGACAGCCAGGAUGUUGGCUUAGAAGCAGCCAUCAUUUAAAGAAAGCGUAAUAGCUCACUGGUCGAGUCGGCCUGCGCGGAAGAUGUAACGGGGCUAAGUAGUAAACCGAAGCUGCGGCAAUGUGCUUUUGCACAUUGGGUAGGGGAGCGUUCUGUAAGCGGUUGAAGGUGUGUGGUAACGCAUGCUGGACGUAUCAGAAGUGCGAAUGCUGACAUGAGUAACGAUAAAGGGGGUGAAAAACCUCCUCGCCGGAAGACCAAGGGUUCCUGUCCAACGUUAAUCGGGGCAGGGUAAGUCGACCCCUAAGGCGAGGCCGAAAGGCGUAGUCGAUGGGAAACGGGUUAAUAUUCCCGUACUUCUUACAAUUGCGAUGGGGGGACGGAGAAGGCUAGGUGGGCCUGGCGACGGUUGUCCAGGUUCAAGUGCGUAGGCUUAAGAGUUAGGUAAAUCCGGCUCUUUUUAAGGCUGAGACACGACGUCGAGCACCUACGGGUGUGAAGUCAUUGAUGCCAUGCUUCCAGGAAAAGCCUCUAAGCUUCAGAUUGUAAGGAAUCGUACCCCAAACCGACACAGGUGGUCGGGUAGAGAAUACCAAGGCGCUUGAGAGAACUCGGGUGAAGGAACUAGGCAAAAUGGUACCGUAACUUCGGGAGAAGGUACGCUCUCGACGGUGAAGUCCCUCGCGGAUGGAGCUAUUGAGAGUCGCAGAUACCAGGUGGCUGCAACUGUUUAUUAAAAACACAGCACUGUGCAAAAUCGUAAGAUGACGUAUACGGUGUGACGCCUGCCCGGUGCCGGAAGGUUAAUUGAUGGGGUUAGACUUCGGUCGAAGCUCUUGAUCGAAGCCCCGGUAAACGGCGGCCGUAACUAUAACGGUCCUAAGGUAGCGAAAUUCCUUGUCGGGUAAGUUCCGACCUGCACGAAUGGCGUAAUGAUGGCCACGCUGUCUCCACCCGAGACUCAGUGAAAUUGAAAUCGCUGUGAAGAUGCAGUGUACCCGCGGCUAGACGGAAAGACCCCGUGAACCUUUACUACAGCUUGGCACUGAACAUUGACCCUACAUGUGUAGGAUAGGUGGGAGGCUUUGAAGCAGGUACGCCAGUAUCUGUGGAGCCGUCCUUGAAAUACCACCCUUGUAGUGUUGAUGUUCUAACGUCGACCCCUAAUCGGGGUUGCGGACAGUGCCUGGUGGGUAGUUUGACUGGGGCGGUCUCCUCCCAAAGAGUAACGGAGGAGCACGAAGGUGGGCUAAUCACGGUUGGACAUCGUGAGGUUAGUGCAAUGGCAUAAGCCCGCUUGACUGCGAGAAUGACAAUUCGAGCAGGUGCGAAAGCAGGUCAUAGUGAUCCGGUGGUUCUGAAUGGAAGGGCCAUCGCUCAACGGAUAAAAGGUACUCCGGGGAUAACAGGCUGAUACCGCCCAAGAGUUCAUAUCGACGGCGGUGUUUGGCACCUCGAUGUCGGCUCAUCACAUCCUGGGGCUGAAGUCGGUCCCAAGGGUAUGGCUGUUCGCCAUUUAAAGUGGUACGCGAGCUGGGUUUAGAACGUCGUGAGACAGUUCGGUCCCUAUCUGCCGUGGGCGUUGGAAGAUUGAAGGGGGCUGCUCCUAGUACGAGAGGACCGGAGUGGACGAACCUCUGGUGUUCGGGUUGUGUCGCCAGACGCAUUGCCCGGUAGCUAAGUUCGGAAUCGAUAACCGCUGAAAGCAUCUAAGCGGGAAGCGAGCCCUGAGAUGAGUCUUCCCUGAUACUUUAAGUAUCCUAAAGGGUUGUCGGAGACUACGACGUUGAUAGGUCAGGUGUGUAAGUGCUGUGAGGCAUUGAGCUAACUGAUACUAAUUGCCCGUGAGGCUUAACCAUACAACACCCAAGGGGUUU
rnacentral:rRNA from 1 species